rnacentral:rRNA from 1 species
GAUGAACGCUGGCGGCGUGCCUAAUACAUGCAAGUCGAGCGAACAGACGAGGCGCUUACUCCUCUGACGUUAGCGGCGGACGUGUGAGUAACACGUGUAUAACCUCCCUAUAAGACUGGGAUCACUUCGGGAAACCGGAGCUAAUACCGGAUAACAUGUUGAACCGCAUGGUUCAACAGUGAAAGACGGCCUUGCUGUCACUUCUAGAUGGAUCCGCGUCGCAUGAGCUAGUUGGUAAGGUAACGGCUUACCACGGCAACGAUGCGUAGCCGACCGGAGAGGGUGAUCGGCCACACGGGAACGGAGACACGGUCCAGACUCCUACGGGAGGCAGCAGUAGGGAAUCGGCCGCAAUGGGCGAAAGCCUGACGGAGCAACGCCGCGUGAGUGAAGAAGGUCUUCGGAUCGUAAAACUCUGUUAUUAGGGAAGAACAAAUGUGUAAGUAAACAUGCACGUCUUGACGGUACCUAAUCAGAAAGCCACGGCUAACUACGUG